UUCCUGCAUCACCACAGCCGCUACAUCGGCGCUCCAGGCUGGGUCACAGGCUUGCUCGAUGCGCUCCAGAACCACACUGUCCCACUGCUUCUUGGCCAGGGUGAACUGGCGAUUGGGCUCCAGCUCGAUGGUGUGGUAAGCCCCCAUCUUGACAUACUCAUUCUCCUGGAUGUUAGUCCCCUUGACCCGCAGCUGGCAGGCUUGAGAGUCGAAGUCGAUGGCCUCCACGCAGAGAGUGAGGGUAGUGCGGACCCGGUUGCUCCCUACGCUGCCCGUGGAGGACUCCGUCUGUACCUUGCGGAUGGUGGAGGCGCGCAAGCUGUCGCCCACCUGCACUAGAUUGUAGGUGUGCCACAUGUCCUCAGGUUCCUCGGGAACCAGGGUCACCUGGCCCGCAUUGUCUUUCUCAAUGUCCUUCCUCAGGAGCUUCAUGAUCUUGGCAGGGGCUCACUGCCAGAACAAGAGGAACCGAGGGGGAUCCCCACAAGGAAAGGGGUAAGGAGAGGAAAGUUUAGGCCGGGAAGGGGGCGGGGUCCGGUUCCUACAGGCACUUGCCUGGCGGGAAGGAAACACUUUCUAUAUGACUCUAGCGGCCGGGGGGAACACUUACUCUAGCCCUUCCUUUCCGUGGUCUCGGGGCGCGCCGUGUCGAACCGGCGCAAGAGACACCGGCGAACACCUCCUCCGCGGUUCCUGCGGCCGUACAGACCGAGGCCGAUGCAGUGAGAGCGCAUGCGCAACCCACGUCCUGCCUCCCGGCGCACGUUUUACGUCCCCAAAGGGGAGGCGGGGCCGCAGCUUGCGCGUGCGCAGGCGCACUAAGCCGGGAGGUGUUUCUCGGAGAAUAAACCACCCAAGGAAAGUGUACGGAAUGUUUGGUGGCGACUCCUUCGUAUUAAUGCUGAACUUGGACGUCCUAAGUUUUCUCUUCCACCCCUGUUUGUGAAGAAUCUGGGGAGUUUGUGAGUGCAAAUAUAUAUAUUUUUUUCAGCUGUGUGCGGUUGCCACGCUACACCUUCUCCCUCCGGGUAAAUGCAAUUUCAAAACUUACGGAAAAGUAAAAGGAACUCUGAAAAGUGCAGACUUGGCCCCAAGGUCCAAACUACGGCCCGCUUUGCUCCUGCCUUAUCCGCACUCAGACGCCACACGCUUUUUGGAGCUGGUCUGUCCAGAAGCUGUUUCUUAAGAACGACUGGUCAUGGUGCGUCUGGGCCUUGAGUAACGUGCCCAGCUGUUUUCCGCGCUUAAUUAACCAAGUCUGCAUGAUCUGAUUAACCCAGAUGUUAGAACAUUGAUCCCAGAGAAAGAAGCAACCAUCUGUGGAAUUUACUCCUGGAUGGACCUCUCAGUUGCUUGAUCUGAUGUCCUGAGAAUCCCAGAAUCCAAGGAGAACCCAGCAGCUUUUCACUGAGCAAGGAACUGAUCACACUGAAGUGUGAAACUUUAUCCUUGGUCAGCUUGAGGUAUUGCAUUGCAAACCAAUCAAUCCUGCCUGAUCUUUCAAAGUCUGCAAAAGCCUAAGUGACCCGUUACACAGUCUGCCCAAAGGACAUGGACUUCGUCGUCUACAACACAGAAGAAGAGAUCCAAUCUUGAGACAAAAUUGGACCACGUGACUCCCUGUUCUUUUGCACAGUGACUCACCCCUCCCCCAGACUGCCUGGUUGAAGGCUGGAACUGCUCACCUUUAAACAUCUCAGCUGGAGGCUUUUAAGGUGCAUCCCUCCAAAGGGGCUCAUGCUGCCAAAGAACAUAACCAGAUUUCGACGUUCUUAUGACUUUUGAUACACACUGUACUUGAUGUUUUGUUGGUCCAUCUUAGCAAAAGCACAUGCAUAUAUUUAAUUUUGUUGAUUUUGUUGUGUUCAGUUUGGUGUCAGAUAUAAUUUACAGUUAUUAUUGAAGUUUAAUAUUUGAGAUCAUACAUUUUUAUUGGUAGUUUUUCUGGUGAAAGAAGGGAAGGGUGAUGAAUAGUAGGAUCACACCUAAGCUUUGUCUGAACUUAUUUAAUUUUUAAAAUCUCUACAGGCUCAUCAAAGAUUUGAGUACUACCUUUGAAUGAUAGUAGUGUAACCAGCAAGUUUCAAUCUUAUUGCCAAAAUGGGUAUCAAUGUAUUAGAAACUAAGAUAUACUCAGUGCUUCUCCUUAAUUAUG